GUUUUGGGGGUUGUUUGGUGGUGGAGGUUUUAUGGAAGAGGAAAGCCCAGAUCCUCCCAGAAAUGUGUCUAUAAACCUUGUCUAUAAUAUAUUAAGAAGCUGCAACUUCAAAGAAGAGAAUGGACUUCUGGGAUGUAGGAUCACUGCUUCAACUUCAUGUCCAAACCUCAUAUGCAUCAAACCUCUCUAGACCACAGGAGAUGAUGUGUUGACAACAGCGCAGUAGAAGAACAGAUCAGAGAAGAUACUACACUGAGAGACAUCAUGGCUAAAGGAUUUUAAAGGAUGGUGAAGGAACAUGUGCUUGAGAAGCUAUGACAACUUGCAGUGUCUUUGGUCAAAGGAAACAGGACUUGAGAACCCUCAGAAUGCAGUGUGAAUGCCUGGAAGAAAGACUCACCAAGCAAGCUUUGUAACAGACACUGGAGGACAUCAUCAUCAAAUUGCAAAUACUGCUGUCAAUAGAAAGAAAGGAAGCUCUAUUUUUCAAAUCACACACCCUCUACAAAUUACUGCCUCAGCUGUAAUUAGGAACAUGCCCUUAAGUAUAAAUAAAACACACAAUAGGAAAAAAAAGAAAAAAAAGAAUUUCACUCUGACUUUUGACAGGGACACUUUGUGAGAUCCCAAUUAGGAUUCUUUGUACUUAAACCAAAAAAAUAAAUCAGAUCCAUGCUGUUGAAUACUGACUCACUGUAACAAAUUAGCCACUGGGACAUGAAGGUUUCCUAUUGUAACCUGCUGGAUAUCACCAUCAUAUUUUGCAUUGCUCCAUAUGAAAAUUAUCUGCCUCUUUUCACACCCUAGCACAGAUUCUUUUUUUUCCUUUCACUCUCCCUUAGCCCUUCUACAUAUACAGAACACCUGUUAAUUGUCAUUAAAAUUGAAUAUCACUGACUCAGGACAGAUCAUGUCUGUCUGCUCUGUUGUGAAACAUGACAGUGCUGCAUGAAUGACUCUCAAAGACUGCUAUUCACAAAUAUUCUUUUUAAGCCUGUUCCAGCAUCCUGUAAUAUCAGUGGAAGUCCUUCCUUUGAUUUCAGUGGGAGUUGGGUGAUAUCUUUAAUUCAAAAAUUACGAAAGCAGCUGGAAUUUGAGACAAACCCUCAGAUUGAAAUCUACAGAUGUGUGGGAUAACUUAAAACUACAGCAUCUGAGGAAGGGUAACACAGGAUUUUAUUGUGUAGCAUUUCCCCUAGGAACUUAUAGUGAAUUAUUGAAAUAAGACGUGGUUUUGAACAGCUUUACAUUCAACAUUUCAUAUUCUGAACGUUUCCAGGUCUCAAAUGAAAUAAUAUGACAUUAAGCACACAUGAUGUCUUUUACUGGAGGGUCCUACAAUGUUUUAGAAACAAUAAUUAAGCUUGCAAGGUAUUUAAGUGCUGCUACAGAUGGUCACUGAGGCACAAAGACAUUUCCAAGGUCACUCAACAAAUCAGCGACAGCAACAGAGCCAAACCCCAGGAGCCUCCCUUGCCCCACUGUUCAAAACACUGCAACCAAAUGCAGGACCAGCAUGUGCCUCUGCUCCGUGAUCUCACUAUUCCAUGCAUUUUUAUUCCUUUUCCUGAAGGUUUUUUGUGAGUAUUGGGUGUUUGGUUAUACAUAGCAGACAGGCUAAUAUGCUGAUGUAAAUUGGCUGGGUUUGAUUGACUUCUGUGCACUGUAUCGUGUGCAAGAGCAGCAUUUGCAUUUAGCUUUGAUAUAGAAUGAUGUGAAAUAUGACAGUUUGAUGCAGUUGGCUGCAGUCAUCCUCAGGCCCUGCAGGUCUAAUUUAAAAGACAUUGUUGCUGACUUCAUUGGAGCUAUGACAGUUGAAACCAGCUGAGGACCUGACCCAGAAAUUUCAUAACACCUUUGAAAACAGAGAAGAAGCUAUAAGUUCAUGUAACAGGAAUGACUGGUAGAUCAUAAAUCAUAUUUGGGCACUUUAUACAUUCAAUAAGCUGUUUAUUGAACUGAAGUCAAGGAUUUGGUAUGCAAAUACACAGGAUUGCUUCUUUAUUCAGAUGUAAAUACAUAAACAAACACAAACUAAGAAUUAGGAGUAAAUGACUCUUUGGUACUACAUGUUUCUAUUUGCCCAGUGAAGGAACUCUGGAACCAUUUUCACAAUCCCCUGCUAUGAGGCAAUUCUCAUCACCCAUAAUAAAUGUUUAUUUUAAAACUUUAGACUCUUAGAAGGGGAAUAAGCAGAGUCUGAGAGCUGACGAUCUUUCCACUGACCACAGAAUAGGUCAGUAGUGGAGCAGGGUUUAGACUUCAGCAUUCCUCAAAUCCCCUUCCCGUAUUCACCCUUCUAGAGCUGAGUCUCCUAAUUUUGGAGUUGACUUUUAGUGACAUACCAUCAAAACAAGUCAUCGUUUUUUUCAGGGCGAGAUAAUGGGACUGGAAUUUACAACUACCAGAACCUUUGCCAUGUUUGAUCAUCAACAUAAAACUCUGUCUGACUCCUAUAGCCAGAUUUCCUCAAACUUUGAACUUUUCCACUAAGUGUAAUUGCACAGCCCAGUAACUCACCAUUUCCUAGGUCAACUCAUCUGAGACACUGACUAAACCCUCAUUCACCUUCCAUUUACAAAGAAGAAAGGGAAUGUGUUUCUGAAUUUAUUAUAAUCAUUACUCAGACAUAUAUGCUUGCCUUUAAACUCAAACCAAAAACAUUUAAAAAUCGCUUUUAAAAAGAGAAAGACUAUCAAAAAAUUAUGGCCUUUCACAUUAAUUUAGAAGCUAUAAAAAUACAUAUUUUUUCUGACUUAUGACCAAUAUACAAUAUUUGGCCAUGUUCUGAAGGGCAAGAGAGAUUGUCUGGACAGUAACCAAAAUGUUAUCUUAUUCUCUGACUACUUUCAAAUAUUAAUUAGGGUAAACCUAAGCUUGUAAAAUGGAAUAAUCAUUUUAGCACUUUUAUCAUAACUUAUGAGUAUUGCAUGCUAAUGAACAAGAAAUAUCAUCACUGCUAUAAAGUACCUGAGGACAACU